GGUAGGAGUGGCAACAAAUGCUGGGCUCAAAACACAGGGAUUUCUUUUUCUUUUAGACGUAUCUGGAAGAAUAGGAGAAUCGAAGAGAGACGAUAAGACGGUGAUAGUGGAGGAGGAUGAUGUCGACUCUAACUACCUGCACGUCCCCAGCCUGCAGCUAUCCCUCACUGUAAAAGGGAAGCUUGUGAAACAAGAAGAAGAAGCCCAAACUUCCCACAUCAAAAGACUCACCAUCAGAGAUGCAGUAACAACUGGGUAGCCCGGAGAGUGCAGCCAAUGAUGACCAUUCUCUUUGACGGGCGGCUGAGGGCACAGGGAAGAAGGCAUGGCCACUCUGAGUUCAGUUCAACUCAACAAUCAGUAUCAAAAAGCUUUUACUCGUGAAAACACCUACAGUGUAAGGAGCAUUGAACCGGACACUUGGGAAGACACGAGGUUUAGGUAAGACAGGGUCCCCGUCCUCGUGGGGUUUUCAGUCUAAUAAGCACGCGCGCGCGCACACACACACACACACACACACACACACACACACACACACACACACACAGAUAACUGUAAUAGAAGAAUCCCAAAGCCCUCAGGUUCAUAGAUUUAUAGCAGGAAGGGAUCUUCAAG
rnacentral:lncRNA from 1 species